rnacentral:rRNA from 1 species
GUGGGGAAUAUUGGACAAUGGGCGCAAGCCUGAUCCAGCCAUGCCGCGUGAGUGAUGAAGGCCUUAGGGUUGUAAAGCUCUUUUGUCCGGGAAGAUAAUGACUGUACCGGAAGAAUAAGCCCCGGCUAACUUCGUGCCAGCAGCCGCGGUAAUACGAAGGGGACUAGCGUUGUUCGGAAUCACUGGGCGUAAAGCGCACGUAGGCGGACCAUUAAGUCAGGGGUGAAAGCCUGGAGCUCAACUCCAGAACUGCCUUUGAUACUGAUGGUCUCGAGUAUGGAAGAGGUUGGUGGAACUGCGAGUGUAGAGGUGAAAUUCGUAGAUAUUCGCAAGAACACCGGUGGCGAAGGCGGCCAACUGGUCCAUUACUGACGCUGAGGUGCGAAAGCGUGGGGAGCAAACAGGAUUAGAAACCCUGGUAGUCC